AAUCUGCCUGGUAGUGGGGGAUAACGUCCGGAAACGGGCGCUAAUACCGCAUACGUCCUGAGGGAGAAAGUGGGGGAUCUUCGGACCUCACGCUAUCAGAUGAGCCUAGGUCGGAUUAGCUAGUUGGUGGGGUAAAGGCCUACCAAGGCGACGAUCCGUAACUGGUCUGAGAGGAUGAUCAGUCACACUGGAACUGAGACACGGUCCAGACUCCUACGGGAGGCAGCAGUGGGGAAUAUUGGACAAUGGGCGAAAGCCUGAUCCAGCCAUGCCGCGUGUGUGAAGAAGGUCUUCGGAUUGUAAAGCACUUUAAGUUGGGAGGAAGGGCAGUAAGUUAAUACCUUGCUGUUUUGACGUUACCAACAGAAUAAGCACCGGCUAACUUCGUGCCAGCAGCCGCGGUAAUACGAAGGGUGCAAGCGUUAAUCGGAAUUACUGGGCGUAAAGCGCGCGUAGGUGGUUCAGCAAGUUGGAUGUGAAAUCCCCGGGCUCAACCUGGGAACUGCAUCCAAAACUACUGAGCUAGAGUACGGUAGAGGGUGGUGGAAUUUCCUGUGUAGCGGUGAAAUGCGUAGAUAUAGGAAGGAACACCAGUGGCGAAGGCGACCACCUGGACUGAUACUGACACUGA
rnacentral:rRNA from 1 species